rnacentral:lncRNA from 1 species
UCAGCUGUAAAUUUUUUAUUCCAAUCCUUAUUUAGAUGACAAGUGUCAAAAUUUUAAUUUUUUUUUUCUCUAUUUAACAUUAUUUGGAUCCUCUUUGAACACCUCCCCCAUCCCGACACCCGGUCUCCUUCCUCAUCUCACACUAUUUUCUUCUCUUGAUAAGUUAUGGUUAUUAUUGAGACAUAGGUUGGCCUGAGCUUCCCUUGGCAUACCUUCGUUACCAUUACUAAGAAAAGUAAGUAGGAAUUCGUCCCAGAUAAACUACUAAUCUAGCUCUUUCGCAUCGAGGAUUUAUUAAUUCCCAUUCAAUUUGAAAUUGUUAAAACGAUUUAAAUUAUUUCUCUCGUAGAUCCCUAGUUUUUUGAUUUUUUAGCUUCUGAUUUUUUCCAUUCACUUUUCUUUUUCAGUUUGUUUUAAAAUUUAAUUUGAUGUCUUCUUCCCCAUAUUAUCUUUGUUCACAACUUUCAGAAAUUGAUAAACAAAGCUAAAUAAUCGAGAAAAUUUACAAAGCCCCAUUGCCUCCUACUCGGCACAUACCAACACAAUACAUAUAUUCUCUGUUUUAUUCUCCACCCAUCUUCUCAUUAUCCGACGCCAUCAUGAAUAGCCGCCUAUCAAAGGUCGGGUCGAGAUUCCAGUCAAAUUUUCACGGUGAAGUAUAAUGCGAAGUUCAUGAAUUUGUGAAGUUUUUAUCUUGAUUGUUUUUCAUAGUUUUCUCCUAAUUUUAUUUUCAAGUAGUUUUUGUGAAAUUUAAAUGGGUCUUCAAAUGAAUUAGAAAUAAGUUAUUAGGUGGGUUCGAAGUGAAAUAAUUUGUUUGAUUAUAAAAUGAGUUUUUUUUUUUAAAAAAAAUUUGGCUUGGGCUCUUAAAAUUUUGUUGAAUUUGAAGGUGGCCCCGUCUCGUUUUUUUUUUUGUCAGAGAAGAUGCUUGCAAAAGAAAAAGAGAUGGGAAUUGCUAAGGGGUAUAAAUGUAAAUAGCAAGUGUUUUCUUUUUUAAAAAAUUUAAUAACACGUGUCACGACCUUAUUGGUGCAUGCCAUUACACAUAUUCUGAAAAAAUAGUCAAGAAAAAAGUGGUGUGUCUUAGACACACUCUAGAAAGGUUGAGUGUGUAAAGUAAUUUUUGUCCAUAAAAAGUGUGUAACAGGGUUUUGGUCCAUAAUUCAAGUAGGGGUGGCAAAAUAAUUAAAAGCAAACAACUAUCCAGCCAUAUUAUCCACUAAAAAUGGGUUGGAUAAUGAACUGUUUAAAAAUGGAUCAAAUAUGGAUAAGAACCAUAUUAUCCAUUUAGGAAAUGGAUAACCAAUGGAUAACUAAUGAGGUUAACUUUUACAAUUGUAAAGCCUCAAAUUGGGGGUUUACUCAAGUUUGAGAGAUUAAGAAUUCUUCCAAAAGUGAUCAUAUUCAAGAAGCCAUGGAUAAUAUGGAUAUCAAUUUUAUUCGUCGGUUAAUCCAUUUUUUAUCCGUAUUAAAUAUGGGUCAGAUCGGAUAAUUUAUCUGUUUUGCAUUACCCAUUUUUGACCCGAACCAUAUCCGACCCGCCUGUUUUCCACCCCUACUUCUAAUAAGUUGGGAUUUUGACUACUUAUUAGCGCCCUUUAGCUUUCGUUUUAGUCCAAAAGUACUUAAUUAUGUUCCCAAAAAUUAAUGAAAUAUACUUAAUUACAGGAAUAUUAAAAGAUGAGCUCCCAAGAUGAAAUUCAACUCAAAAAGGAGUAAUCUGAAUUCUGAACGCAAGGAAAAAAACAGGCACAAAAGCUUAGAACUGCGGACCACAGAAUAUCAUCUGCGGCCGCAGGUUGUGAAGAAAUUGCCAUCAGAGAUAUGUGCAAAGUGCGGUCCGCACAUAAAAUGUACGGCCGCAAAUGCUGGGUCAGAGCAAAAGUUCAGAGAACCUGCAUCUCAAGUCUAACAAAAGUGCGGACCGCACAAUUAUUGUGCGGCCGCAGAAAAAGAGCUAUGCGGCCGCACUUACAAUUGUGCGGACCGCAGAAGAGCAAGGUGCGACCGCACAUACAAUUAUGCGGACCUCAGAAAGAGAGCAGUGCGACCGCAGAUCAGAAUUAUAUAGCCGCAGAUUUCUAAUCCUCUCGAGCUGAAGAAAAGUGCGGACCGCAUAUGAAAUUAUGCGGUCGCAGAACUUCCGAAAGGGUAUUUUGUCCGAAAAUUCUAGCCUUGUAUAAAUUGAAGAGUUUUACUUUUUUAGGUGAACUUUUGACAUCAGCUGCUACAGUAGACGGUUUCUUUUACUCUUUUUAAUAGUUUUAGCUAUUUUGAGCUUUUUGAACAUAGAGUUUAUCAGUUUAAUUACAAUAUGGGUUUAAUUAUCAUUUCUUCUCCUAUUUCUUUUAGUUUAAGCAUGAGUAGCUAGAUUUUUGGUUAUGACCCAACCCUAGCAUGUAAACUUAAU